AUACGGAGGAUGCAAGCGUUAUCCGGAUUUAUUGGGUUUAAAGGGUGCGUAGGCGGUUUGCUAAGCGGGAGGUGAAAUGCCGGCGCUCAACGUCGGAAGUGCCUCCCGAACUGGUGGACUGGAAUGACUCUGCCGUGGGAGGAAUGUGUAGUGUAGCGGUGAAAUGCUUAGAGAUUACACAGAACACCGAUUGCGAAGGCAUCUCACGAAGGGUUGAUUGACGCUGAGGCACGAAAGCGUGGGGAUCAAACAGGAUUAGAUACCCUGGUAGUCCACGCAGUAAACGAUGAUGGCUAACCGCUGGUUUAUUCGGAUCAGUGGCCAGGCGAAAGCGAUAAGCCAUCCACCUGGGGAGUACGACCGCAAGGUUGAAACUCAAAUGAAUUGACGGGG
rnacentral:rRNA from 1 species